GAUGAACGCUGGCGGCGUGCCUAAUACAUGCAAGUCGAGCGAACAGACGAGGAGCUUGCUCCUCUGACGUUAGCGGCGGACGGGUGAGUAACACGUGGAUAACCUACCUAUAAGACUGGGAUAACUUCGGGAAACCGGAGCUAAUACCGGAUAAUAUAUUGAACCGCAUGGUUCAAUAGUGAAAGACGGUUUUGCUGUCACUUAUAGAUGGAUCCGCGCCGCAUUAGCUAGUUGGUAAGGUAACGGCUUACCAAGGCAACGAUGCGUAGCCUACCUGAGAGGGUGAUCGGCCACACUGGAACUGAGACACGGUCCAGACUCCUACGGGAGGCAGCAGUAGGGAAUCUUCCGCAAAGGGCGAAAGCCUGACGGAGCAACGCCGCGUGAGUGAUGAAGGUCUUCGGAUCGUAAAACUCUGUUAUUAGGGAAGAACAAAUGUGUAAGUAACUAUGCACGUCUUGACGGUACCUAAUCAGAAAGCCACGGCUAACUACGUG
rnacentral:rRNA from 1 species